rnacentral:rRNA from 2 species
AUUAAUUGAAUAAGUGUAAGCGGUGGAUGCCUUGGCAAUCAGAGGCGAUGAAGGACGUGCUAAUCUGCGAUAAGUCUGGAGGAGUUGAUAAGAAGCGUUAUAACUCCAGAAUUUCCGAAUGGGGAAACCCGAUAGAGCAAAUCUCUAUCACUGCAUUUUGCAGAGCGAACCCGGAGAACUGAAACAUCUAAGUACCCGGAGGAAAAGAAAUCAACCGAGAUUCCGUAAGUAGUGGCGAGCGAAAGCGGACUAGCCGUUAAUGAUAGCAGUUGAGAUAGUAGAAUAACCUGGAAAGGUUAACGAUAGAGGGUGAUAGUCCCGUAUACGAAAUUUCAAUUGUGGUACUAAGUUAACAACAAGUAGGGCGGGACACGUGAAAUCCUGUUUGAAGAUGGGUGGCUCAUCAUCCAAGGCUAAAUACUACUGAUUGACCGAUAGUGAACCAGUACCGUGAGGGAAAGGCGAAAAGAACCCCUGUUAGGGGAGUGAAAUAGAACCUGAAACCGCUUACAUACAAGCAGUGGGAGCAUAUUAAUUAUGUGACUGCGUACCUUUUGUAUAAUGGGUCAGCGAGUUAUUUUCUGUAGCGAGGUUAACUUAAUCAGGGAGCCGUAGCGAAAGCGAGUCUUAACUAGGCGUUUAGUUGCAGGAAGUAGACCCGAACCCCGGUGAUCUAGUUAUGGGCAGGUUGAAGUUGUAGUAACAUACAUUGGAGGACCGAACCGACUACUGUUGAAAAAGUAGCGGAUGACCUGUGACUAGGGGUGAAAGGCCAAUCAAACCGGGAGAUAGCUGGUUCUCCCCGAAAUCUAUUUAGGUAGAGCCUCAUAUGAAUACUUCAUGGGGUAGAGCACUGUUUCUUUGCGGGCGUCAUCUCGAUGUACCAAUAGGAUGCAAACUCCGAAUACGUGAAAGUACUGUAUGGGAGACACACCACGGGUGCUAACGUUCGUGGUGGAGAGGGAAACAACCCAGACCGCCAGCUAAGGUCCCAAAGUCUAUGUUAAGUGGGAAACGAUGUGGGAAGGCACAGACAGCUAGGAUGUUGGCUUAGAAGCAGCCACCAUUUAAAGAAAGCGUAAUAGCUCACUAGUCGAGUCGGCCUGCGCGGAAGAUGUAACGGGGCUAAACAUAGCACCGAAGCUGCGGCAAUAAUUUAAUUAUUGGGUAGGGGAGCGUUCUGUAAGCCGUUGAAGGUAUACUGGGAGGUAUGCUGGAGGUAUCAGAAGUGCGAAUGCUGACAUAAGUAACGAUAAAACGGGUGAAAAACCCGUUCGCCGGAAGACCAAGGUUUCCUAUCCAACGGUAUUCGUGGUAGGGUUAGUCGGCACCUAAGGCGAGGCAGAAAUGCGUAGUCGAUGGCAAACAGGUUAACAUUCCUGUACUUAAUACCCAUGCGAUGGAGUGACGGAGAAGGUUAGGUCAGCUCACUGACGGAAUAGUGAGUUUAAGCGUGUAGUUUGGCAUAUUAGGCAAAUCCGGUAUGCUAUAGAUGAGGCGUGAUGAAGACCAAGAACUUUGUUCUUGGGAUUGAUUGAUACCCAGCUUCCAAGAAAAGCUUCUAAGCUUAAUGUGUAUUAAACCGUACUGUAAACCGACACAGGUGGUCAGGUAGAGAAUACUCAGGCGCUUGAGAGAACUCGGGUGAAGGAACUAGGCAAAAUAGCACCGUAACUUCGGGAGAAGGUGCGCUGGUUAUGCUGUUAGUAGGCACGCUCUACGAGGCAGCAACCAGUCGAAGAUACCAGCUGGCUGCAACUGUUUAUUAAAAACACAGCACUCUGCAAACACGAAAGUGGACGUAUAGGGUGUGACGCCUGCCCGGUGCUGGAAGGUUAAUUGAUGGUGUUAGGGUAACCGAAGCACUUGAUCGAAGCCCCAGUAAACGGCGGCCGUAACUAUGACGGUCCUAAGGUAGCGAAAUUCCUUGUCAGGUAAGUUCUGACCUGCACGAAUGGCGUAAUGAUGGCCAGGCUGUCUCCACCCGAGACUCAGUGAAAUUGAAAUCGCUGUGAAGAUGCAGUGUACUUGCGGCUAGACGGAAAGACCCCGUGAACCUUUACUAUAGCUUGACAUUGAAUAUUGACCUAUGAUGUGUAGGAUAGGUGGGAGACUUUGAAGCAUGGACGUCAGUUCUUGUGGAGUCGUUGUUGAAAUACCACUCUUCAUAUGUUGAUAUUCUAACUAAGGCAAGUGAAUCCUUGCCUAGGACAUUGUCUGGUGGGUAGUUUGACUGGGGCGGUCUCCUCCCAAAGAGUAACGGAGGAGUACAAAGGUGGGCUAAUCACGGUCGGACAUCGUGAGUUUAGUAUAAUGGUAUAAGCCCGCUUGACUGCGAGACGUACAUGUCGAGCAGGUGCGAAAGCAGGUCAUAGUGAUCCGGUGACUUUUCAUGACAGAGUCAUCGCUCAACGGAUAAAAGGUACUCCGGGGAUAACAGGCUGAUACCGCCCAAGAGUUCAUAUCGACGGCGGUGUUUGGCACCUCGAUGUCGGCUCAUCACAUCCUGGGGCUGCAGUAGGUCCCAAGGGUAUGGCUGUUCGCCAUUUAAAGUGGUACGCGAGCUGGGUUUAGAACGUCGUGAGACAGUUCGGUCCCUAUCUGCCGUAAGCGUUAGAUAUUUGAAAGGGUCUGUCCUUAGUACGAGAGGACCGGGAUGGACGAACCUCUGGUGUUCCAGUUGUCUUGCCAAAGGCAUUGCUGGGUAGCUAUGUUCGGACGGGAUAACCGCUGAAAGCAUCUAAGCGGGAAACCUUCCUUGAGAUGAGAUAUCUUUUCUUAAAGAAAUAAGGGUUGUUGUAGACUACGACGUUGAUAGGUGAGAUGUGUAAGAGCUGCGAGGCUUUGAGCUAACUCAUACUAAUUGCCCGAAUG